rnacentral:tRNA from 1 species
GGCCCCAUGGUCAAGUGGUUAAGACACCGCCCUUUCAAGGCGGCGACACGGGUUCGAUCCCCGUUGGGGCCACCA